rnacentral:lncRNA from 1 species
AACUUAAAUGUAUUCCCGCAUUAUACUGGUGGGCGACCUAGAACUCAAAUGUAUUCCCACAUUAUACUGGUGGGCGACCUAGAACUUAAAAGUAUUCCCGCAUUAUACUGGUGGGCGACCUAGAACUUAAAUGUAUUCCCGCAUUAUACUGGUGGGCGACCUAGAACUUAAAUGUAUUCCCGCAUUAUACUGGUGGGCGACCUAGAACUUAAAUGUAUUCCCACAUUAUACUGGUGGGCGACCUAGAACUUAAAUGUAUUCCCGAAUUAUACUGGUGGGCGACCUAGAACUUAAAUGUAUUCCCGCAUUAUACUGGUGGGUGACCUAGAACUUAAAUGUAUUC